rnacentral:rRNA from 1 species
AUUGAACGCUGGCGGCAGGCUUAACACAUGCAAGUCGAACGGGUGGCGGCGGGGUGAGUAAUGCUUGGGGAUCUAGCUUAUGGAGGGGGAUAACUACGGGUAACUGUAGCUACUACCGCGUACCGUAGGAUGAUCCCAAGUGGGAUUAGGUCGUUGGUGGGGUAACGGCUCACCAAGGCGACGAUCCCUAGCUGGUUUGAGAGGACGACCAGCCACACUGGAACUGAGACACGGUCCAGAAUCCUACGGGAGGCAGCAGUGGGGAAUAUUGGACAAUGGGGGAAACCCUGAUCCAGCCAUGCCGCGUGUGCGAAGAAGGCCUUCGGGUUGUAAAGCACUUUUGGCAGGAAAGCGGUACCUGCAGAAUAAGCACCGGCUAACUACGUGCCAGCAGCCGCGGUAAUAC